CGGUCAUCUCCGGCACCUGUUCGGCCACUUUUUCAACUUUUGAUAAUCCGUUCAUCUUCGGCACCCGUUCGGCCGCUUCUUUUGAUAGUACUUCGGUCAUCUCCGACACCCGUUCGGCCACUUCUUCAACUUUUGAUAAUCCGUUCAUCUCCGGCACCCGUUCGGCCACUUCUUUUGAUAGUACUUCGGUCAUCUCCGGCACUCGUUCAACAACUUCAACUUAUGAUAAUCCGUUCAUCUCCGGCAUCCGUUCGGCUACUUCUUCAACUCUUGUUACUCCGUUCAUCUUUGGCAGCCAUUCUUCACCUUCUGAUACUCCGUUCAUCUUUGGCAGCCAUUCUUCACCUUCUGAUACUCCGUUCAUCUUCAGCAGCCCCACUUCUUCUGUUAGUACUCCGGUCAUCUCCGGCACCCGUUCGGCCACUUCUUCUGUUAGUACUCCGGUCAUCUCCGGCACCCGUUCGGCCACUUCUUCUGAUAGUACUCCG
rnacentral:lncRNA from 1 species